UUCCGUAGGUGAACCUGCGGAAGGAUCAUUACUGAAUUGUCAAACGGGUUGUUGCUGGCCCUCAUAGGGGGCAUGUGCACGCUCUGUUUACACAUCCACUCACACCUGUGCACCCUCUGUAGUUCUAUGGUCUGGGGGACCCUGUCUUCCUUCUGUGGUUCUACGUCUUUACACACACACUGUAAUAAAGUUUUAUGGAAUGUACAUCGCGUCUAACGCAAUACAAUACAACUUUCAGCAACGGAUCUCUUGGCUCUCGCAUCGACGAAGAACGCAGCGAAAUGCGAUAAGUAAUGUGAAUUGCAGAAUUCAGUGAAUCAUCGAAUCUUUGAACGCACCUUGCGCCCCUUGGCUAUUCCGAGGGGCAUGCCUGUUUGAGUAUCAUGAACACCUCAACUCUCAUGGUUUGCCAUGAUGAGUUGGACUCUGUGGGUUUUGCUGGCCUGUGGUCGGCUCCUCUUAAAUUAAUCAGCCUCCCAGUGUUUGGUGGCAUCACGGGUGUGAUAAAUAUCUACGCUCGCUGUUGUCUGCCAGGUAACCUUUGGUAACAAAGGUUUGCUGGAGCUCACAGAUGUCUCUCCUCAGUGAGGACAACUUUUUUAACG
rnacentral:sRNA from 1 species